rnacentral:rRNA from 1 species
AUUGAACGCUGGCGGCAUGCCUUACACAUGCAAGUCGAACGGCAGCACGGGUGCUUGCACCUGGUGGCGAGUGGCUAACGGGUGAGUAAUACAUCGGAACAUGUCCUGUAGUGGGGGAUAGCCCGGCGAAAGCCGGAUUAAUACCGCAUACGAUCUACGGAUGAAAGCGGGGGACCUUCGGGCCUCGCGCUAUCGGGUUGGCCGAUGGCUGAUUAGCUAGUUGGUGGGGUAAAGGCCUACCAAGGCGACGAUCAGUAGCUGGUCUGAGAGGACGACCAGCCACACUGGGACUGAGACACGGCCCAGACUCCUACGGGAGGCAGCAGUGGGGAAUUUUGGACAAUGGGCGAAAGCCUGAUCCAGCAAUGCCGCGUGUGUGAAGAAGGCCUUCGGGUUGUAAAGCACUUUUGUCCGGAAAGAAAUCCUUGGCCCUAAUACGGUCGGGGGAUGACGGUACCGGAAGAAUAAGCACCGGCUAACUACGUG